rnacentral:miRNA from 1 species
AAGGUUGUUCUAACAAGUCUGAUACAGUCAUGAUAUGACAAGAAUGUUACAAGGCUGACGACACAAGGUUGUAACAAUACUGCUAUAUCAUGACUGUAUCAGACUUGUUGGAACAACCUU